rnacentral:misc_RNA from 1 species
GAUGAAGAACGUAGCGAAAUGCGAUACGUAAUGUGAAUUGCAGAAUUCAGUGAAUCAUCGAAUCUUUGAACGCAUAUUGCGCUCUUUGGUAUUCCGAAGAGCAUGCUUGUUUGAGUAUCAGUAAACACCUCAACCUCUUCUUGAUUUUUCAAAAGGAGGGUGGACUUGAGCUAUCCCAACAACCUUUACCGGUCGGCGGGCGGCUUGAAAUGCAGGUGCAGCUGGACUUUUAUCUGAGCUAAAAGCAUAUCUAUUUAGUCCUCGUCAAACAGGAUUAUUACUUUUGCUGCAGCUAACAUAAAGGAUAAUUGUCCUCUUUGCUGACUGAUGCAGGAUUUUACGACACUUUAUGUGUUGUUCAACUCGAUCUCAAAUCAAGUAAGACUACCCGCUGAACUUAAGCAUAUCAAUAAGCGGAGG